rnacentral:misc_RNA from 1 species
GUGAAUCAUCAAAUUUUUGAACGCAAAUUGCACUCUCCGGUUUUCCGGGAGAGUAUGCCGGUUUGAGGGUCUGUUUAAAACAUAAUCGAGGCUGCUGCUGUGGUGGCUCUUCGGAAUUGGGUCAUCUUUCACCUUUCGGUUGUAAGCGACCUACAAUUUUUUUUACGAUUUCUACGAACUUGUCUACUAAUUUCUUGUACGUUCACGACAUCGAAUUCAUCU